AGCGAACGCUGGCGGCGUGCCUAAUACAUGCAAGUCGAACGAAGCUGUUUUAACUGGUGCUUGCACCGACUUAAACAACUGAGUGGCGAACGGGUGAGUAACACGUGGGUAACCUGCCCCAAAGCGGGGGAUAACAUUUGGAAACAGAUGCUAAUACCGCAUAACCACAGAAACCACAUGGUUUCUGUGUCAAAGAUGGUUUCGGCUAUCACUUUGGGAUGGACCCGCGGCGUAUUAGCUAGUUGGUAAGGUAAUGGCUUACCAAGGCAAUGAUACGUAGCCGAACUGAGAGGUUGAUCGGCCACAUUGGGACUGAGACACGGCCCAAACUCCUACGGGAGGCAGCAGUAGGGAAUCUUCCACAAUGGACGAAAGUCUGAUGGAGCAACGCCGCGUGAGUGAAGAAGGUUUUCGGAUCGUAAAACUCUGUUGUCAGAGAAGAACGUGUGCGAGAGUAACUGUUCGUGCAGUGACGGUAUCUGGCCAGAAAGCCACGGCUAACUACGUGCCAGCAGCCGCAGUAA
rnacentral:rRNA from 1 species